UACAGAGGGGGCAAGCGUUAUUCGGAAUUAUUGGGCGUAAAGCGCACGUAGGCGGCUUGGCAAGUCGGAUGUGAAACCCCUCGGCUCAACCAAGGAAGUGCAUCCGAAACUGCCGAGCUUGAGUACUUAAGAGGAUCGCGGAAUUCCCGGUGUAGAGGUGAAAUUCGUAGAUAUCGGGAGGAACACCAGUGGCGAAGGCGGCGAUCUGGGAAGAUACUGACGCUGAGGUGCGAAAGCGUGGGGAGCAAACAGG
rnacentral:rRNA from 1 species